rnacentral:rRNA from 1 species
CCUACGGGAGGCUGCAGUGAGGAAUAUUGGUCAAUGGCCGAGAGGCUGAACCAGCCAAGUAGCGUGAAGGAUGACUGCCCUACGGGUUGUAAACUUCUUUUAUCGAGGAAUAAAGUGCGGCACGCGUGCCUUUUUGUGUGUACUUUAUGAAUAAGCAUCGGCUAACUCCGUGCCAGCAGCCGCGGUAAUACGGAGGAUCCGAGCGUUAUCCGGAUUUAUUGGGUUUAAAGGGUGCGUAGAUGGGUGCUUAAGUCAGUGGUAAAAUUUGGAGGCUCAACCUUUUGCUGCCGUUGAAUAUUCGUUUCUUGAGUGGGCGAGAAGUACGCGGAAUGCGUGGUGUAGCGGUGAAAUGCAUAGAUAUCACGCAGAACUACGAUUGCGAAGGCAGCGUACCGGCGCCCAACUGACGCUCAUGCACGAAAGCGUGGGUAUCGAACAGGAUUAGAUACCCUUGUAGUC